GCCCAAAGUCGCACGUGCCUGUGGGUGUCCGCCGAUCCCUCGAAUGGCGAGGAAAUCGGUAAGGUAACUGGAGCUAACCCCUCCAGUCGGUUUGGCGGCCAACCGCGAAAUCGAGGACACCUUGAAGCAACGACGGUGCGGGCCUUU
rfam:Aminobacter sp. Root100 contig_6, whole genome shotgun sequence.